GGGGACCUGAGCAGGCUCGUUUCGCUGGAGAGCACAGGAGCCCUGUUCUAUCAUCACCCACUAGAGCUAGAAAGGGCCCCAGAUCAUUCAGGUAUUGAUUGGUAAUCACCAGAGGCAUCUGCUGCUUCCCUUAUUCUGUCUAUCUGGAUCCAUAGGGAAUAUUUGAAGGUUUUAUGAAUUAAACUGAAGACUACUGAAGCAGAAGAAUGGCAGCUGGGUUUUGGAUUUUCUUGGUGAUAUAUAGGAUGACUAAAUAAACCUUGUAGCAAAAUUUACAUCAAGGGGUAGACCUAUCCUGUUUCAAGAGAUACUUUAAACUUUAAUUUCCUUUCAAGAUGGAGUAUCUGAAAUACAAUGACUCUAUAGUGCUCGUCUGUCCAUGUUUUAUUAUAUUGCUGGAAGAAACUUAAAUGAUAGAUCCACUUUCUACAGGCUGUAUUGAUUGUACAUGGUUGGGCAUUAUGAUUAAACCUACCUAAAAUAUACCCUUAGAUAAUCCAAUAAUGUCAUAUUAGCAGAGUAUCUGA